rnacentral:misc_RNA from 1 species
AACGAGGCCGACCUGCGGCUGAGUUACCUGCGGAGGGAUCAUUACCGAGUUAGGGUAGUUAUUCACUGCCCGACCUCCCAACCCUGUGUCUACCACACCUUGUUGCUUCGGCGGACCGGUCGACCAACUGGUCGUGACCGCCGGGGGCUGGCUCUGUCCCCCCUGGAGAGCGUCCGCCGAUGGCCCAACCACAAACUCUUGUACCGAAACGUGUCGUCUGAAUAAUUGAGAAAUCAAAUA